UCGGGAAUUUUGGGCAAUGGGCGAAAGCCUGACCCAGCAACGCCGCGUGAAGGAUGAAGUAUUUCGGUAUGUAAACUUCGUAAGAAUAGGAAGAAUAAAUGACGGUACUAUUUGUAAGGUCCGGCUAACUACGUGCCAGCAGCCGCGGUAAUACGUAGGGACCAAGCGUUGUUCGGAUUUACUGGGCGUAAAGGGCGCGUAGGCGGCAAUUCAAGUCAUCUGUGAAAUCUCCGGGCUUAACUCGGAACGGUCAGAUGAUACUGCUUUGCUAGAGUGCAGAAGGGGCAAUCGGAAUUCUUGGUGUAGCGGUGAAAUGCGUAGAUAUCAAGAGGAACACCUGAGGUGAAGACGGGUUGCUGGGCUGACACUGACGCUGAGGCGCGAAAGCCAGGGGAGCAAACGGGAUUAGAUACCCAUGUAGUCCCUGAGCGGGCUGGCAAGGCGCAU
rnacentral:rRNA from 1 species